UUGAGAAACCCGUUGCUCCAUUGGUCUAGUAGAAAACAAUUGCCAAAUUGACUCACACUUUUUCAUUACGACACUGACGAUGCAUUGGUUAGGUACAUUUAUGUGUGCAAUCAAUUCAAUACUUCAUUGAAGAUUUACAAUAUUUUAGAUGAACUAAGAGAACUCCAGAAUUGCAAGACAAUUACGACGACCAUCGUGGAAGUUCAUGUUAAAAAUACUCAUGAAAAACCUUGGAGAGAAGGUUCUGUAGACAUUCACGUUGAAAAAAUCACUGCAAACCCUCAGCCCGGCACUUCCAACAUUCCUCCCAACGUCCAGAAAUCUACGAAAUCAGCACAAAGUGAUGAUGAAAAGCUGGAGAUGCAAACAAAAAAUUCUGCACUGCUUUUCGAUGAUCAAUCCAUAUUUUCUGAUGACCUAUCGAUGAGACAUCGACAAACCUUGGUCGGUUGGGACACUUUCCGUUCAAGGACAAUGGUUGCCCUGAUGAUCCUUUUCAUUCUUUGGGCCCUUAUUUACUUUCCAUUAAUAUCAAUUCUGUGAAACACC